CAGCAGCCGCGGUAAUACGAAGGGGGCUAGCGUUGUUCGGAAUUACUGGGCGUAAAGCGCACGUAGGCGGAUAUUUAAGUCAGGGGUGAGAUCCCAGAGCUCAACUCUGGAACUGCCUUUGAUACUGGGUAUCUUGAGUAUGGAAGAGGCUAGUGGAAUUGCGAGUGUAGAGGUGAAAUUCGUAGAUAUUCGCAGGAACACCAGUGGCGAAGGCGGCUAACUGGUCCAUGACUGACGCUGAGGUGCGAAAGCGUGGGGAGCAAACAGGAUUAGAUACCCCCGUAGUCCCUGUCUCUUAUAC
rnacentral:rRNA from 1 species